UGGCUCAGAUGGUAAAGCAUCUGCCUGUAGUGCAGGAGACCCGGGUUCGAUCCCUGG
rnacentral:tRNA from 1 species